rnacentral:rRNA from 1 species
GACGAACGCUGGCGGCGUGCUUAACACAUGCAAGUCGAACGGUGAAGCGCUUGCCUUUUUGGUGGGUGGGGAUGAGUGGCGAACGGGUGAGUAACACGUGAGUAACCUGCCCUCUUCUUCUGGAUAACCUCAUGAAAGUGGGGCUAAUACGGGGUAUUCCGGGUCUGUCGCAUGGCGGGUUUGGGAAAGAUUGCGCCGUUGGGCGUGUUCGUUGGGGGAUGGGCUCGCGGCCUAUCAGCUUGUUGGUGGGGUGAUGGCCUACCGAGGCGGUGACGGGUAGCCGGCCUGAGAGGGUGGCCGGCCACACUGGGACUGAGACACGGCCCAAACUCCUGCGGGAGGCAGCAGUGGGGAAUAUUGCACAAUGGGCGCAAGCCUGAUGCAGCGACGCCGCGUGAGGGAUGGAGGCCUUCGGGUUGUGAACCUCUUUCGCCAGUGAAGCAGGCCUGCUCCUGUGUGGGUGGGUUGACGGUAGCUGGAUAAGAAGCGCCGGCUAACUACGUG